rnacentral:rRNA from 1 species
GUGGGGAAUAUUGGACAAUGGGCGAAAGCCUGAUCCAGCCAUGCCGCGUGUGUGAAGAAGGUCUUCGGAUUGUAAAGCACUUUAAGUUGGGAGGAAGGGCAGUAAGUUAAUACCUUGCUGUUUUGACGUUACCGACAGAAUAGGCACCGGCUAACUUCGUGCCAGCAGCCGCGGUAAUACGAAGGGUGCAAGCGUUAAUCGGAAUUACUGGGCGUAAAGCGCGCGUAGGUGGUUCAGCAAGUUGGAGGUGAAAUCCCCGGGCUCAACCUGGGAACUGCCUCCAAAACUACUGGGCUAGAGUACGGUAGAGGGUAGUGGAAUUUCCUGUGUAGCGGUGAAAUGCGUAGAUAUAGGAAGGAACACCAGUGGUGAAGGCGACUACCUGGACUGAUACUGACACUGAGGUGCGAAAGCGUGGGGAGCAAACAGGAUUAGAAACCCCAGUAGUCC